rnacentral:rRNA from 1 species
AUGUGGCAUAAUUUUUAAAAAUAAAGACAUGGGGUUAAAAGCCAUUCGAGCCUUUUUAUCUGGUUUCAUGAAAAAUGAAUUUAAUUCAAUUAAUUUUAGUUUAAUUUUUGGUAAUUAAUUUACAUAAUUAAAAUUAGUAAAAUUUUAGAGGGAUGAGCUUCUAUAAUAACUGUGGUACAAUAGAAAAAUGUAGUGGAAUGAUUUCAGGUUUAAUAAUGGCCUUAAAUAAAAAGUUUGUUACAAUUUACAUUUUUAAAGUCAAUAUUUUUCAUUUUAUUUACUAUAAUAUCAUGAUAUUAAGAUUAACCUUCAAUUUUAAGUAAUAAUGCUAAAAUAAGUAGAAUCGUAGUGUUUAGUGGUAUUUUGAAACAAUUUUAAAUUAUAUAAAAUUCAAGAUAUUUUAAAGGAACUCGGCAAAUAAAUUUUCCGCAUGUUUAUCAAAAACAUCUCCUUUUGACAUAUUUAAGGUACCGUCUGCUCAAUGCAAUUUGUAAAUAGCCGCAGUAUUCUGACUGUGCUAAGGUAGCAUAAUCAUUAGUCUUUUAAUUGGAGGCUGGUAUGAAUGACGAGACGAGAAAAUGACUGUCUCUAUAAUAAACUUUGAAUUUCAUUUCUGAGUGAAAAAGCUCAGAUAAUUUUGAAGGACGAUCAGACCCUUUGGAGCUUUAUUUACUUCAAAAAUUUGAAUUUGUUUUAAUUGAUUGAAUGGAAAGUAAAUUUUGUUGGGGCGACAGGGAGUAAAAUAUAACACUCUUUUUUUAAAACAAUCCUAAUUGGAAAAUUGAUCCUUAAAGUGAGAUUAUAAGACUAAGUUACCCUAGGGAUAACAGCGUAAUCUUUUUGGAGAGUUCAAAUCGAUAAAAA